UACGUAGGGUGCAAGCGUUAAUCGGAAUUACUGGGCGUAAAGCGUGCGCAGGCGGUUUUGUAAGUCUGUCGUGAAAUCCCCGGGCUCAACCUGGGAAUUGCGAUGGAGACUGCAAGGCUAGAAUCUGGCAGAGGGGGGGUAGAAUUCCACGUGUAGCAGUGAAAUGCGUAGAGAUGUGGAGGAACACCGAUGGCGAAGGCAGCCCCCUGGGUCAAGAUUGACGCUCGUGCACGAAAGCGUGGGAGCAAACAGGGAUUAAGAAACCC
rnacentral:rRNA from 1 species